rnacentral:rRNA from 1 species
UACGUAGGUGGCAAGCGUUGUCCGGAUUUAUUGGGCGUAAAGAGCGCGCAGGCGGUGCGCCAAGUCCGAGGUGAAAUCUCCCGGCUCAACUGGGAGGGGUCUUCGGAUACUGGCGGACUCGAGGAGAGCAGAGGUGAGUGGAAUUCUGGGUGUAGUGGUGAAAUGCGUAGAUAUCCAGAGGAACACCAGCGGCGAAGGCGGCUCACUGGGCUCCACCUGACGCUGAGGCGCGAAAGCGUGGGGAG